rnacentral:rRNA from 1 species
GAUGAACGCUGGCGGCGUGCCUAAUACAUGCAAGUCGAGCGAACAGAUGAGGAGCUUGCUCCUCUGACAUUAGCGGCGGACGGGUGAGUAACACGUGGAUAACCUACCUAUAAGACUGGGAUAACUUCGGGAAACCGGAGCUAAUACCGGAUAAUAUAUUGAACCGCAUGGUUCAAUAGUGAAAGACGGUUUUGCUGUCACUUAUAGAUGGAUCCGCGCCGCAUUAGCUAGUUGGUAAGGUAACGGCUUACCAGGGCAACGAUGCGUAGCCGACCUGAGAGGGUGAUCGGCCACACUGGAACUGAGACACGGUCCAGACUCCUACGGGAGGCAGCAGUAGGGAAUCUUCCGCAAUGGGCGAAAGCCUGACGGAGCAACGCCGCGUGAGUGAUGAAGGUCUUCGGAUCGUAAAACUCUGUUAUUGGGGAAGAACAAAUGUGUAAGUAACUAUGCACGUCUUGACGGUACCUAAUCAGAAAGCCACGGCUAACUACGUG